UGAUGACGAUGAUGAUGAUGAUGAUGAUGAUGAUGACGACGGCGACUAUCAUCACUACUACCACUACUCACGACGUCGUCGUCGUUUUCAUCAUUAUCAUCAUCAUCAUCGUCG
rnacentral:pre_miRNA from 1 species